UUUUCUGAGAGUUUGAUUCUGGCUCAGAACGAACGCUGGUAGCGUGGAUUAGGCAUGCAAGUCGAACGGGAUCGUCUGGAUAGCAAUAUUCGGGCGUGAGAGUGGCGGAUUGGGGAGGAACACGUGAGCAACCUG
rnacentral:rRNA from 1 species